CAUAGGCUAAAUGACAUUCGCAAAAUUAUCAUAAAGUGCUAAGUCAUUUUGUCAUUCAGAUAUCAUUUAAAUUUAUCAAUUCAUAAUUCAAAUUUUUCAAUUCAUAAUUUAAAUGACUUCAGCUUGUAAAACACCAGAUAGUAUUUAUGAUUUUAAGGCCAGAACUAUUGAUGGAAAAGAGAUUUCACUAGAUAUCUACAAGGGUAAAGUUGUUCUGAUAGUCAAUGUGGCUUGUGAAUGAGGUUCAACUGAAAAAAAUUAUAAACAAUUAGAAGCUUUAUAUGAAAAGUAUGAGUCGAAUGGUUUAAGGAUACUAGCGUUUCCAUGCAAUCAAUUUGGAAAUCAAGAACCUGGUAGUGAAGCUGAUAUUAAAAAAUUUGUUUCAAAAUAUCCUGUCAAAUUUGAUAUGUUCUCAAAAAUAGAUGUAAAUGGUGACAAUUGUAUACCAUUAUUUAAAUUUUUGAAAAAAAAUGAGGAUAUUUCAUGGAAUUUUGCUAAAUUUUUGAUUAAUCGUCAAGGUAAGAUUGUAAAAAGAUAUGGAACUAAAGAAGA